rnacentral:rRNA from 1 species
CAGCCGCCGCGGGAAUACGGAGGGGGCUAGCGUUGUUCGGAAUUACUGGGCGUAAAGCGCACGUAGGCGGCUUUGUAAGUCAGAGGUGAAAGCCCGGGGCUCAACCCCGGAAUUGCCUUUGAGACUGCAUCGCUUGAAUCCAGGAGAGGUGAGUGGAAUUCCGAGUGUAGAGGUGAAAUUCGUAGAUAUUCGGAAGAACACCAGUGGCGAAGGCGGCUCACUGGACUGGUAUUGACGCUGAGGUGCGAAAGCGUGGGGAGCAAACAGGAUUAGAUACCCCAGUAGUCCCUGUCUCUUAUAC